UACGUAGGGUGCGAGCGUUGCCCGGAUUUAUUGGGCGUAAAGGGCGCGUAGGCGGCCACGCACGUCCGUUGUGAAAUCGCCUGGCUCAACUGGGCGGGGUCAGCGGAUACGGUGUGGCUCGAGCAAGCUAGGGGGCAAUGGAAUUCCCGGUGUAGUGGUGGAAUGCGUAGAGAUCGGGAGGAACACCAGUGGCGAAGGCGGCCGGCUGGGGGUGACCUGACGCUGAGGCGCGAGAGCGUGGGGAGCGAACCGG
rnacentral:rRNA from 1 species